UGUUUGAUCCUGGCUCAGAUUGAACGCUGGCGGCAGGCCUAACACAUGCAAGUCGAGCGGAUGAGGGGUGCUUGCACUCUGAUUCAGCGGCGGACGGGUGAGUAAUGCCUAGGAAUCUGCCCGAUAGUGGGGGACAACGUUUCGAAAGGAACGCUAAUACCGCAUACGUCCUACGGGAGAAAGUGGGGGAUCUUCGGACCUCACGCUAUCGGAUGAGCCUAGGUCGGAUUAGCUAGUUGGUGAGAUAAUGGCUCACCCAAGGCGACGAUCCGUAACUGGUCUGAGAGGAUGAUCAGUCACACUGGAACUGAGACACGGUCCAGACUCCUACGGGAGGCAGCAGUGGGGAAUAUUGGACAAUGGGCGAAAGCCUGAUCCAGCCAUGCCGCGUGUGUGAAGAAGGUCUUCGGAUUGUAAAGCACUUUAAGUUGGGAGGAAGGGCUGUCGGCUAAUACCCUGCAGUUUUGACGUUACCAACAGAAUAAGCACCGGCUAACUUCGU
rnacentral:rRNA from 1 species